rnacentral:pre_miRNA from 1 species
GCCGGGUCCAUUUGACCCGGCAGUGAUAGUCAAGCAUCACUGCCGGGUCAAAUGGACCCGGC